UCCAAGAAAAUAUCAUAGGUUUACAAACGGCAUACUUUCUUUUCACUAUUUGUCACUACCUGGAAAUAAAGAGCAUGUAGAAUUCCUUAUCCUAUGCAAAAGAGAACUCUACGCCAGCCGCAUAUCGAUGAUUACGUGCACAACCAUCGUUCAUUACCCAUCUCAAUUAGGAGACUGCCUGCAAAUAACAUAUCCCACAUCGAAACAACCCUGGGUCAAUAUAGACCUUUGCUUUCUAUAUAAAGCAUCAUCCUCUUUUAAUUGCGGUAUCAAUUCGCAUUGUGCUCAAGCCAAACCGUCGUUGACAGACUUCAACUCGAAGAGUGGUUGACUUUUAAAAUUCAACUUGAAAAAUUAGCAGACUUGAAGACUUCAACUUGAAGAUUUGGAGGGCUUAAAUAUUUCAACUUGAAGAGUGGCGAACGUGGAGACUUCAACUUGAAGACCGACGGACUUGAAGAUUUCAUCUUGGAGAUUUCAACUUGAAGACUGACGGACUUGAAGACUUCAACUUGGAGACUUGGAGGGCUUAAAUAUUUCAACUUGAAGAGUGGCGAACAUAGAGACUUCAACUUCAAGACCGACGGACUUGAAGAUUUCAACUUGGAGACUUCAACUUGAAUACCGACGAACUUGAAGACUUCGAGGGCUUAAAUAUUUCAGCUUCUCUUUUGCUUUACAUUGUCCGACUUUUAUCUUAGUCGUAUAAUUUUCAGUUUUACGCGCUUGUAACAAAAGAUUCAUAACUUGUCGUGGGAGAGUCCAAAUAAUGAACCGUUUGAUUUCUCGAA